rnacentral:rRNA from 1 species
CAGCAGCCGCGGUAAUACGUAGGUCCCGAGCGUUGUCCGGAUUUAUUGGGCGUAAAGGGAGCGCAGGCGGUUUAGUAAGUCUGAAGUUAAAGGCAUUGGCUCAACCAAUGUAUGCUUUGGAAACUGUUAGACUUGAGUGCAGAAGGGGAGAGUGGAAUUCCAUGUGUAGCGGUGAAAUGCGUAGAUAUAUGGAGGAACACCGGUGGCGAAAGCGGCUCUCUGGCUUGUAACUGACGCUGAGGCUCGAAAGCGUGGGGAGCAAACAGGAUUAGAUACCCGAGUAGUCCCUGUCUCUUAUACA